ensembl:lncRNA
GUUAUAUCAAGGUUGGAGCUGUUGGGUCAGGAAGUCUUGUGGGAGAACAAAGAGAGGAGAGUGCAAAUAAUUUUAGAGCUAUGGAGAAAAUUAGAGAUACCAAGGGAAUAUUUCAUGCAAAGAUGGGCUCAAUAAAGGACAGAAAUGGUAUGGACCUAACAGAAGCAGAAAAUAUUAAGAAGAGGUGGCAAGAAUACACAGAAGAACUGUACAAAAAAAGAUCUUCACAGCCAAGAUAAUAAUGAUGGUGUGAUCCCUCACCUAGAACCAGACAUCCUGGAAUGUGAAGUCAAGUGGGCCUUAGAAAGCAUCACUAUGAACAAAGCUAGUGGAGGUGAUGGCAUUCCAGCUGACAUAUUUCAAAUCAUGAAAGAUGAUGCUGUGAAAGUGCUGCACUCAAUAUGCCAGCAAAUGUGGAAAACUCAGCAGUGGCCACAGGACUGGAAAAGGUCAGUUUUCAUUCCAAUGCCAAAGAAAGGCAAUGCCAAAGAAUGCUCAAACUACUGCACAAUUGCACUCAUCUCACACACUAGUAAAGUAAUGCUUAAAAUUCUCCAAGCCAUCUUCAGCAAUACGUGAACUGUGAACUUCCAGAUGUUCAAGCUGAUUUUAGAAAAGGCAGAGGAACAAGAGAUCAAAUUGCCAAAAUCAGCUCAGUUCAGUUUCGUUCAGUCACUCAGUCGUGUCCGACUAUUUGAGACCCCAUGAAUCAUAGUACGCCAGGCCUCCCUGUCCAUCACCAACUCUUGGAGUUCACUCAGACUCACGUCCAUUGAGUCAGUGAUGCCAUCCAGCCAUUUCAUCCUCUGGCGUCCCCUUCUCCUCCUGCCCCCAAUCCCUCCCAGAUCAGAGUCUUUUCCAAUGAGUCAACUCUUCACAUGAGGUGGCCAAAGUACUGGAGUUUCAGCGUUAGCAUCAUUUCUUCCAGAGAACAUCCAGGGCUGAUCUCCUUCAGAAUGGACUGGUUGGAUCUCCUUGCAGUCCAAGGGACUCUCAAGAGUCUUCUCCAAC